rnacentral:rRNA from 1 species
AGCGAACGCUGGCGGCAGGCCUAACACAUGCAAGUCGAACGAACCUUUCGGGGUUAGUGGCGGACGGGUGAGUAACACGUGGGAACGUGCCUUUAGGUUCGGCAUAACUCAGGGAAAAUUGUGCUAAUACCGAAUGUGCCCUUCGGGGGAAAGAUUAAUCGCCUUUAGAGCGGCCCGCGUCUGAUUAGCUAGUUGGUUGAGGUAAUGGCACACCAAGGCGACGAUCAGUAGCUGGUCUGAGAGGAUGAUCAGUCACAUUGGGACUGAGACACGGCCCAAACUCCUACGGGAGGCAGCAGUGGGGAAUCUUGCGGAAUGGGCGAAAGCCUGACGCAGCCAUGCCGCGUGAAUGAUGAAGGGCUUAGGAUUGGAAAAUUCUUUCACCGGGGACGAUAAUGACGGUACCCGGAGAAGAAGCCCCGGCUAACUUCGUG